CAGCGUAGACGUUGUCAAAUCGCCACAGCUGGCUGGCUUUUCCAUCACACUGGCGCAGUCCUAAUUGAGCUUCCAUAGAUCUUCACAAGCCGUCCUACAAUUCCUACAGAAGGGUAAAGAACCAAGAAUGGCAAGGAGGUAUUUGUGGAGGCUUCCAAGAAGACAAACUGAACAGGAUGGGAUGUUUGCUUUCAUGGAUCAGAAAUGAAUCACAUCACUUUCUUUCAGUAACGACACAGAGUUGCAGAGUCACAAGAAAGAAACAACAGAAAGAAAAUGUUUUCGGGGUGGGGGGGGGAGGUUGUGAAUAAAGACUCCUGCGUGGAGACCCAGGAUUGUGAGAGAGAGAUUGACGGUGUUUGACUGUGGUUGCCUCUAG